rnacentral:rRNA from 1 species
UAAGCCCCGGCUAACUUCGUGCCAGCAGCCGCGGUAAUACGAAGGGGGCUAGCGUUGCUCGGAAUCACUGGGCGUAAAGGGUGCGUAGGCGGGUCUUUAAGUCAGGGGUGAAAUCCUGGAGCUCAACUCCAGAACUGCCUUUGAUACUGAAGAUCUUGAGUUCGGGAGAGGUGAGUGGAACUGCGAGUGUAGAGGUGAAAUUCGUAGAUAUUCGCAAGAACACCAGUGGCGAAGGCGGCUCACUGGCCCGAUACUGACGCUGAGGCACGAAAGCGUGGGGAGCAAACAGGAUUAGAUACCCUGGUAGUCCACGCCGU